rnacentral:rRNA from 1 species
AGUGAACGCUGGCGGUAGGCCUAACACAUGCAAGUCGAACGGCAGCACAGUAAGAGCUUGCUCUUACGGGUGGCGAGUGGCGGACGGGUGAGGAAUACAUCGGAAUCUACUUUUUCGUGGGGGAUAACGUAGGGAAACUUACGCUAAUACCGCAUACGACCUACGGGUGAAAGCAGGGGAUCUUCGGACCUUGCGCGAUUGAAUGAGCCGAUGUCGGAUUAGCUAGUUGGCGGGGUAAAGGCCCACCAAGGCGACGAUCCGUAGCUGGCCUGAGAGGAUGAUCAGCCACACUGGAACUGAGACACGGUCCAGACUCCUACGGGAGGCAGCAGUGGGGAAUAUUGGACAAUGGGCGAAAGCCUGAUCCAGCCAUACCGCGUGGGUGAAGAAGGCCUUCGGGUUGUAAAGCCCUUUUGUUGGGAAAGAAAAGCAGCAGGUUAAUACCCCGCUGUUCUGACGGUACCCAAAGAAUAAGCACCGGCUAACUUCGUG